rnacentral:rRNA from 1 species
UAAUACGAAGGGUGCAAGCGUUACUCGGAAUUACUGGGCGUAAAGCGUGCGUAGGUGGUUUGUUAAGUCUGAUGUGAAAGCCCUGGGCUCAACCUGGGAAUGGCACUGGAUACUGGCAAGCUAGAGUGUGGCAGAGGGUAGUGGAAUUCCUGGUGUAGCAGUGAAAUGCGUAGAGAUCAGGAGGAACAUCCGUGGCGAAGGCGACUGCCUGGGCCAACACUGACACUGAGGCACGAAAGCGUGGGGAGCAAACAGGAUUAGAUACCCUGGUAGUCCACGCCCUAAACGAUGCGAACUGGAUGUUGGGUGCAAUUUGGCACGCAGUAUCGAAGCUAACGCGUUAAGUUCGCCGCCUGGGGAGUACGGUCGCAAGACUGAAACUCAAAGGAAUUGACGG